rnacentral:lncRNA from 1 species
CGACGGAACCGCCGUCAAGCUUUCGGUGUUGACUGUGUUUACUGUGCAGGAUCAGGACGUCUUAUGUGAUUGGGACGUGGAGAAAGAUCUUGGCGUUAACAUUGGCGCUAGAAGGAGGGCUUUUUCUAGUGUUUUUGAGUUAUCAAUCACAAUAUUUCCAGUUGUUCUACAUCAGAAGUUACGGCACAAAUCAAGGGGUUCUCGUUCGAGAUCCCACGGCGAAGCCCGAAGAUAGUUGGUCUUUGCUGCUGACAAAGAGCAUGAUCGUGGCCGAAGGCAAGUAAAAGGCAUCCUGCCUAGAACUCGGCACCGAAGUGGUCAGGCUGAUGAAGAUGGUGGACGAAGCAUAUAGAUCUUUGGAGGUCCUACCGGGAGCGGAGCGAGGAUGUAGCUGUGCGGAGCGAGGAUGUAGCUGAGCAGAGCAAGGAUUUGGUUGUGCAGAUUCUUCGGAUUGCCAAGAUGAGGAACAAAGCAUUCAAUUAUGCCCAGUCUGAAAGAUGUGGUACGCCUAAAGAUGGACAACCAUGAGUUGGAAAGCAAUCUAUACACUU